rnacentral:rRNA from 1 species
AUCCAUGGCCAUACCACCCUGAGCAUACCUAAUCUCAUCUGAUCUUCGCUGCUAAGCAGGGUGGGGCCUGGUUAGUACUUGGAUGGGAGACCGUCUGGGAAUACUGGGUGCCGUAGGCU